rnacentral:rRNA from 1 species
AGAGUUCGAUCCUGGCUCAGGAUGAACGCUGGCGGCGUGCCUAACACAUGCAAGUCGAACGAGAUGCGUAUUGGAAAGCUUCGGCCGGAAGAUGCGUUAUCUAGUGGCGGACGGGUGAGUAACACGUGGGUAACCUGCCUUAUGGAGGGGGAUAACAGAGAGAAAUCACUGCUAAUACCGCAUAAGCACACAGUACCGCAUGGUACAGGGUGAAAAGAUUUAUCGCCAUAAGAUGGACCCGCGUCUGAUUAGCCAGUUGGCAGGGUAAAAGCCUACCAAAGCAACGAUCAGUAGCCGAUCUGAGAGGAUGACCGGCCACAUUGGGACUGAGACACGGCCCAAACUCCUACGGGAGGCAGCAGUGGGGGAUAUUGCACAAUGGAGGAAACUCUGAUGCAGCGACGCCGCGUGAGUGAAGAAGUAUUUCGGUAUGUAAAGCUCUAUCAGCAGGGAAGAAAAUGACGGUACCUGACUAAGAAGCCCCGGCUAACUACGUGCCAGCAGCCGCGGUAAUACGUAGGGGGCAAGCGUUAUCCGGAUUUACUGGGUGUAAAGGGAGCGUAGACGGAAUGGCAAGUCUGAAGUGAAAUACCCGGGCUCAACCUGGGAACUGCUUUGGAAACUGUUGUUCUAGAGUGUUGGAGAGGUAAGUGGAAUUCCUGGUGUAGCGGUGAAAUGCGUAGAUAUCAGGAAGAACACCGGAGGCGAAGGCGGCUUACUGGACAAUAACUGACGUUGAGGCUCGAAAGCGUGGGGAUCAAACAGGAUUAGAUACCCUGGUAGUCCACGCUGUAAACGAUGAAUACUAGGUGUCGGGGAGCAAAGCUUCUCGGUGCCGUCGCAAACGCAAUAAGUAUUCCACCUGGGGAGUACGUUCGCAAGAAUGAAACUCAAAGGAAUUGACGGGGACCCGCACAAGCGGUGGAGCAUGU